rnacentral:lncRNA from 1 species
CGGGUCACGAAGCAGAGCCUGAGGGGAGCCCGCAGCAGCUCCGGAGGACCAAGACGCCGACGGGCACUCCUUUCCUUAAGGCUUCCCAGACUUGGCAGAAGACUCCACCUCUGCGUCCUGCAACUCUGCUGCCUCCCCCGCCUUGGCUGGCUCAUCCCUUGUAGGUCCUGCCGGGCUGGGGCCUGGGGUCUCCGAUGGGCUCUCGGCUGGCUCGUCCCCUGCAGGUCCUGCUGGGCGGGGGCCUGGGGUCUCCGAUGGGCUCUCGGCUGGCUCGUCCCCUGCAGGUCCUGCUGGGCUGGGGCCUGGGGUCUCCGAUGGGCUCCCAGGGGUACCUUCUUUGGGCCCCGUUCGACCUUCUGUGUCCUCCUCAACCCCGUUCUCACUGUGUCCGACCCUGGGUGCUGGCCUCGUGGUCGGGGUCCCCGGG